rnacentral:lncRNA from 1 species
GUCUGAAGUCCACAGGGCUGAACACUGCGAAUUAACCAUUUGUUCAUCAGUCAGUUCAAUUUUAAUCUGGUCUGUGGCAAGAUUAGGCAAGAAUGGGAGACCUACAAAUGUAGUUGACAUGGGAAGCCAUUUCUCCAGGACGCCCCUUGAGUGGAUGGCAAGGCCUGACAUUUUCUAAGCCAGCUCGGCAGAGACACCUUGAAUAAGAGACUGGGUAAGAAUGAUUCAGAAAUCCCGACCCACACAGAAUUCCACCCAGAACUUCAUUACCUG